UUCAGCUCAGAAUAUUACCUGUAGCCCAUGAGGAGGAACCAAAAAUCCUUGACUUUGUUUCAUGGCUAAAUUAUUCUUUUUUUUGUCUGGCUUGAUUGUUUCCCUUUCUUUCUGUAUUUUUCUCACUUCUCUGAUUAAAUGUAUUCUUUGGAACUCGGGAAAGGCCUAGGAGGCUAAUGUUUGUCUACAAACCAGCAGAAGGCCAAGGACAUGGGUUGGAGCAGGGGAGGGUGGCCUUUUCUAGGAAGACCCCCUAGGGUCCUGUUCAGUUAUAUCGAGAGAGGACACAGAGAGGACAAAGAAGAGGUGACUACUGAUAGACCUGCAAGUUGGGCUUGGCUGAUUGGAGGUACAUUUACCCCACCUGUGUCCUUGAAAUGUACACUCUGCCUGUGGUUCCCAGGCUGGGAGCCACUUUCGAGGAGGCAGGCUUGAAGGAACAGUGUGUUGCUGAGACUCUCUGGACAACAUGCGACUCUGAACCCACUGAAAGCCUCUAUAAAAGCUUUCAAGAUCCUGGCCAGCAGGGGUGGAGAGCUGAUUUUGGCUACCAAGACAAGCCUUGUAGGACUGGCAGAAGUCUGGGAAAACAGGUCCAUCCAAAGGCUCCUUCUCAAUCUUCAAGUUAACAGUCUGACCUUCUUUCCACGGCUCAUGGCCAAGCUGCGUCCUUCACAAGGUCCUACCUGAAUCAAGAUUACUGAUUGGUUCAGCUAAUCUUAUUCUCUUCCAGUUUAUCUGUGAGGACCAAAACAAUGUAUGUUGAGAGAUUGGCCAUGCCACUAUAAAUGGUCUUUAUUGUCCUCCUUGGUGGCCAUGAACUGAAAUAACCAGUGACCCAAGCAAGAUCCUGGUCCUGUUACUCUGUCCAAACUUGUAUUGCUUGCUUCAUGACAGGCCAGUAAGUCGAGAGACAGUUUGUUGAGGGCAAGGAAUAGUGAAUGUAUUUGGAAAGCCAGCAGAUGGAGAAGAUGGUGUCCCAAAGAACCAUCUUCCCUGAGAUAGCAUUCACGCUUCUCUUAUAUUAAAGGAGCCUCUGAGGGGGACUUGCAAUUCCACCUCAUACCUGAGUGAGAGUGUCCAUCUUGAGUCCUUCCUCAGGGCUAUGUAGUUUGUAACCCUUACCUCUAACAUAACUUCCAAAGAAAUAUUAACCUGGAAUCCACCAUCAAAAAUCCAAGUCACCUGAGGUGAGGGAAAAACAGCAUGAGGAGGGAGAACCAGAGCAGCGUGUCCGAGUUCCUCCUGCUGGGGCUCCCCAUCCAGCCAGAGCAGCAGAGCCUGUUCUUUGCCCUGUUCCUGGGCAUGUACCUGACCACGGUGCUGGGGAACCUGCUCAUCAUCAUGCUCAUCA